AUCUGAGAAGAAAGCAAGUGUAGCGUGUAGCGAAAAUAUUAGUUUAUAUCUAUGGUGUAGUCGAGCGGAGUUAAGCCCUGUCUUAGUUGGUCUUAGUGCGUGGUUAAUUGAAGUCUUUCGGGCGCGCGAGUGUUUACGGACAUAUUUAAAACCGAACAAAUUUUUAUAUGUGCUUUUUUGGCAAUUGGUAAUGGCAUAAAUUACUCCGGAGUUUGCGUCGCUGUGUGUUUGCUCACUCUACGAUGGGAAACAUAACCUCCAAAUGACAGUUUCCUUAAUGUACUGGACUAUAUAAACAAUUUAUUUCCCAUGGAACAGUCACUGUCAAAUAUCAAUGAAGUGGUGAAUAAUAUAGAAAAUAAAACACUAUUAAUAGGAUAUAUGACAAUUCUGUGCUCGCUGGACAACAAGUAGUCAUCCGAGAAAUUUCAGAUCAUCUGUGCUAUCUGGGCGUUUAUCUACCUACCAAAGUUUGAAUUGCAAGCCUAAUAUAUGAUCAACUGGAACCUGUGGUACCAUGGCGAUCGAAUUAAAGUGAUACUAAUUGUAAGUGAAGACCGUGAAGCUGUUGGCACUUCACUUUCGAUCAUUUGCAUAUGCUAGUGGAAGGAGUAGAUAAUCUAAAAAUAUUAACACAAGAAAACAACAUGGAAAAAUUAUUGUACCAUUGCAAGGAGUGAUGCAAAUGAUUUUAACAGUUAUAUGGACAUGUCACAAGUGAAGCAAUUAUCUGAUCAAGGUUCAUCAGAUUCAGCAUAUGUUGGCCUAGCGGAUUUCAAACAGGCCUUUUCGAGUCAAAAUCCAAAAUAUUUCAACCAGUUAACGGAGGGAUGUUUAGUGUUAUCAGAAUUGCAUCCUAAAGUAAAGUACCUCGCCGAAUUCUCCUUAUACACAUACAGUCGGAAGUGAAUAAAAAGUUAUUGAGGAGUCGAAUAACCUAUGGAUUUCCCCGACGGUUUUGAUUAAAAAGAAGGACGAAACAAUAAGAUUUUGUAUGGAUUAUUGGAAGUGAAUUCUGUUACAAUAAAAGACUCCUAAUCACUUCGAAGGAUUAAUUCAUAAUAUUUUGUAUUGUUUUAGCGGGGAAUUGGUGAUUUUGCAACUCUCGAUUUGAAAAGUGAAUAUUAACAGGUAAGCUUUAGAACCUAAGAAUUAAGAAAAAACUGCAUUUUCCAUUAGAAAUAGUUAUGUCUUUUGUUUUUUGCAACGCUCCACAGUGGGGAAAAAAAAGCUCAUUUUUUAGACAAAAAUUUACAGACAGUGUAAUUCUCAACUGAUUUUAAGGUUAUUUGACUUGUUUUACUUGUUAAGGUGUGCUCUUUGACAUAGUGCUGCGGCAUUAUCGAUACAAAGUUGAAAUACAAAAUGGCGGAUAAAAAUAGAGCGUCAAAAGUAUUAAAAUGCUGUCUAAUAAUGCCUUUUCGCCUAUGAUAUCAAACAUAUUUACUUCAAAAUGGGUACAUAUAUGUUUUUUGGUCCGCGGCACAUGAAUUUGAGGUCAAACUAAACAUUCAAAGAUUACAAUUUAUUAUAACAUUUAUUGUAAGGUUCAAAAAUACUAAAUCUUUACAAGAAUCAUGGAUGUACAAAAGAGCAAAAUUAUGCACUUAAUGUAUUAUUAUUUAUCUGCCAUUGUAAGGGUUCUUCUUUAUUAAUAAAAAUUUUUUUUGUUUUAACGUAACGAAUAACUUUUAGAAAGUAACUUUUCCAUCCCUCGUUAUAUAAUGUAUUAUUAAAAUGCACAACGAUACACACUACCUAUUUACAUUUUUAUUAAUUUUAAGGAAAAUAAAAAGAG